CAAACAAUGAAGCACAUUUUCGGCUUUCUGGCACCAGGUCCCAUUAGUUUCUCUCUCUCUCUCUCCACAGAUAGCUUGAUGGAGGAUAUGGAUGUUGACCUAGAGAUAGUUUCUGCAUGAUCUGAAAGAUUUAAAGAUUUUGGUUAAUGACAAAGACAUAGACCAACAUAAAAGCCUGGUGUGUGCUUCUCUGAUGGGAAAAAGCGAAGUCUACAAGUUGAUGGAGGCUAACUUCAAAAAUCUUUCUAGAGUGCUGAUAAACCUUGCAUCUGAACUCACACAUACCAAAGAUGUCAGAGAUGUAUUCAUUGACCUUGUGGAGGUAAACCACUAAUAUCAAAUUAACUUGUUUUUUUGUGAUAUUUCUCUUUUUAACAUGUUUCAAAAACGUGUUGUAUUGAGUUACACUUUUUGGCAUUAUAGACUGUAGAAACAAAUUAGACAUGUAUGUGAAUAAACUGCUUAAUCUCUAUUCCGGCACCAGAUGAUUUGAGACAGAUACCACAAAUAAGCAGAUCUCUGCAGGCUGGUCUGGACCUCCACCUUAUUGAUCUUUAUUGAUCUUACUGUGAAUCUGAGUCUUCCCUCACGCAUUUACUUAACUACCUCAGCAGUCCACCUCUCCCUGAUAUUACCUAGUUUUCUCGGUCUCCUUCUGUCUCUUCAGUCCCCCCUGUAAAUAUACUGAAUUAUCAUUUUCUGAUGUGUAAAUUGUGACUUAACUCUUUGGGAUAGGGGGCAGUAUUUUCACGUCUGGAUGAAAAGCGUGCCCAAAGUAAACUGCCUGCUACUCAGGCCCAGAAGCUAGAAUAUGCAUAUAAUUGGUAUUUGGAUUUGGAUAGACAACACUCUAAAGUUUCUAAAACUGUUAAUAUAAUGUCUGUGAG
rnacentral:lncRNA from 1 species